UUUGUAUGACAUGGUGGCUUCUAGGCAGCAGCUGGCUACAUGGGCAUGGCUUUUAAUAAUAAGGAACAGACAGUUAAAGACCAGCGAGAACAUCCCUAGCCUUCAUCUCAUCCAGAUAUACAACACAUGGGAUGUGACAAGUUUUAGGACAAGUGGGAUUUACAUAGCCAGAGACAGGCAGGUAAUAUGGACUUCGACCUACAUCAAGGAGGUCCCUGCCCAAGACGACUUGAUUGUCUUCUAAGCAGAGUAGGCAUAUAGAAAAUUCUUGAGAUAUUCAAGAGAGGCUACAGCUGGCAGAAGAAAGGGAUUAGAGUUCUCAAACAUUUUGACUUUCAUCAUUGGACAGAUGGACAUGCUGUUUCUGGAAUUUCAGCGCCAAUCA